rnacentral:rRNA from 1 species
AUUGAACGCUGGCGGCAGGCCUAACACAUGCAAGUCGAGCGGAUGAAGGGAGCUUGCUCCUGGAUUCAGCGGCGGACGGGUGAGUAAUGCCCAGGAAUCUGCCUGGUAGUGGGGGAUAACGUCCGGAAACGGGCGCUAAUACCGCAUACGUCCUGAGGGAGAAAGUGGGGGAUCUUCGGACCUCACGCUAUCAGAUGAGCCUAGGUCGGAUUAGCUAGUUGGUGGGGUAAAGGCCUACCAAGGCGACGAUCCGUAACUGGUCUGAGAGGAUGAUCAGUCACAUUGGAACGUAGCCACGGUCCAGACUCCUACGGGAGGCAGCAGUGGGGAAUAUUGGGCAGUGGUCGGAAGCCUUGUCCAGCCAUGCCGCGUGUGUGACGACGGUCUUCGGAUUGUAAAGCACUUUAAGUUGGGAGGAAGGGCAGUAAGUUAAUACCUUGCUGUAUUGACGUUACCAACAGAAUAAGCACCGGCUAACUUCGUG